CACCUCUACAUUGACCACUACCUCCCCCCAGAUUCCAGUGGAGAUAGCUCAAGACCUUGAUUUUUUAAAAAAAUAUUUAAAGGAGAAAAAAAGUUCUAUUUUCUUCUCAAUUUUUUUUAUUAUAACUUUUUAUUGACAGAACCUAUGCCAGGGUAAUUUUUUACAACAUUAUCCUUUGCACUCACUUCUAUUCUGACUUUUCCCUUCCUUCCCUCUACCUCCUGCCCUAGAUGACAGGCAUUCUUAUACAUGUUAAAUAUGUUAUAGUAUAUACAAUAUGUGUGUGCAGAACCGUACAGUUCUCUUGUUGCACAAGAAGAAUUGGAUUCAGAAGGUACAAAUAACCUCAGAAGAAAAACAAAAAUGCAAACAGUUUAUACUCAUUUCCCAGUGUUCCUGUGUAACUGCUUCUGUCCAUCAUUGAUCAGUUGGAACUGAAUUAGAUCUCUUUGUCGAAGAGAUCCACUUCCAUCAGAAUACAUCCUCAUAUAGUAUUGUUGCUAAAGUAUAUAAUGAUCUCCUGGUUCUGCUCAUUUCACUCAGCAUCAGUUCAUGUAAAAGACCUUGAUUUUAAAAAAGGUCAUGCUUCCUGAAUAAAUAUUUUUCAUUCAUUCUUGGCUUUGAAGAAGAUAUUAAUAUAUAUAUAUAUAUACAUAUAUAUAGUUCUCUAGGUAUUCUAAGCAAUAGGGUUGAUUAUGAAUUAUGAAUUCAGCAUAAGCCAUAAUUUUUCACAGAUAAGGGUCACACAACUAGUAAGUAUCUCAGCCCAUAUUUGAACUCAAUGAAGAUAAAUUUUCCUGAUUCCAAACCUGUCAUUCCCUCUACUGUAUGCAGAAAACUCUUAGUUUACUAAGUAGAGAACAGCAGAGAACCUAGAACCUAGUAGGAAAGGUAUCAGAUCAUGUGUAAAAGGCAAAAUAAUAUUGAUUUAAUUUUAAUUUAAUUGAUUUAAUUUAAUUAAUAACAAAUGAUAUUGAUUUAAUAAUAAGGCUCUUUUUAUUUCUAUUGUGCUUUGAAGUUUUACAGAAAGAAUUUUCAGCAACAGUAUGUAAUUCAGUUUUCACAACUGUGAGGUUGGCAGUUGCCAUUUUGGAGACGAUGACACUAAAGAAUUGAAAGGAUAAUUUUUAUCAUUGUCACCAUGAAGCAAAGGGCAGAAUUUGGAUUUAGCAGAGAAGAGAGAAGGUAAGGAAACAAACAUCUAUAUAGCAUUUAUCAUGAGCCAGAAACCAUACAAAGCACUUUAAAAACAUCUAAUUUGUUCUUCACAACAACUUUGGGAAGUAAGUGCCAUUAUUAUAUUCAUUUUAAUAGUUGAGAAUACUAAGGCAGACAGUGAUUAAAUGAUUUGCCCAGGCUCAUACAAGUAGUAUUUGAGACUAGAUUUGAACUCAGGUUUUCCUGACUUCAGACCCAGUAUUUUAUCCACUGUGACACCUCGCUACAGUUUGUUGACUCACACCAAUGUUGAAAUCAUACAGUGUUGCCUCAGAAUGGUCUAAUAUUUUGGAAUCAAAUUGAUUUUUAAUGUAAAAUAUAUCUAAAACUUCUGAGAAAUUUGAUUCUAUAACUAAAGAUUUUGAAAUGAAAUUAUCAGAUUUGCACAAAACAUAGAAUGAAUCAUAAUAAUUAUGUUCAUAUAGUUCUUGAAAAUUUAUGCUCUCCACGUGUAAUCUCAGCUGAUGAUUAAUAUAAAAGUGUAGUUAGAACCUGAGGCAGAGUUUUAGAAACAUUAAAGACUAAAAUUCAUUUAUUCAUCCAUAUAUUAAUUCAACCAACAUUUAUUAAAGCUGCUGUAUGCAAGCUGACAUAUAAAGCCAAAAUGAAAAAAAAAAAAAAAAAAAAAAAAAAAAAAAAACCAGGAACUUGCAUUUCACUUGAGGGAAAUAGUAUUUAUAUAAAUUUAAUAAGUAUAUAUUCUGUAAAAGAAAUAUACAUUUCCCUCUCCAAUUUGAAUAUUAUAAUAUAUAUAUAAGCAAGUAUAUCAAAAUACAGAUAAAAUCCUAUGUAUUAAGGGGUCAAGAGGAAAAUAUUUAAAGUAAUAUUUACUGUAUACAACAUUUUUCCAACACUGUUUUUGGCAUCUAAUAAAUCAUUUCCUUAGAAAUAGGGCUUAAAAAUGAUUUCAAUUCAGAAGCUCAUCUGUUACAACACAGCUGAUUGAAUUUGCUUCCCAAUUGGCCUAUUUCCUAGGUCACUGUUCUUAUGUGUAUAUAACCCUUCUGUUCAUUGAUAUAUUAAUUUCCUGAAAAUAUUGUCAACCACGGCCUAUUAUCUUCCUCACUAAGAGGCCUUCUUUGUGGCAAGUAGAUGCCAGAGGUGAAAAGUACCUGCUAGGAAAAAUAAAGACUAAUCCAACUAUAAAACUUUUUCUAAUAUACAUACUGCUGCUGACCAGGUUCUAGUAUUCCUUAACCAAAAACAUUGCUCAUUACUAGAGGAUAUUUUUAUGUUCUUUAGUCAAUUAAUCAUAUCUGAUUAUUCAUGACCCCAUUUGGGAUUUUGUUAGUAAAGAUAUUGAAGCAAAUAAUAUUGAUUUAAUUUUAAUUUAAUUGAUUUAAUUUAAUUAAUAACAAAUAAUAUUGAUUUAAUAAUAAGGCUCUUUUUAUUUCUAUUGUGCUUUGAAGUUUUACAGAAAGAAUUUUCAGCAACAGUAUGUAAUUCAGUUUUCACAACUGUGAAAACUGUUUGCUAUUUCCUUUUUCUCAUUUGAAAAAUGAAUUGAAAACUGUGACAAAUAGGGGUUAAGUGAUUUGUCCAGGUUCACACAGCUAGUGUCUGAAGAUAGAUCUGAACCAGGUCCUUCUGACUCCAGGGCUUGUGCUUUAUCUAGCUGCCAGACAUUUUUAUACAAGCAAUUAAAACAUGUGUUGAUCCUCACCAGUCUUCUGGAAUGUAUAGUAAAAUAUUUGUUGGAUCCACAUAAUAUCAGGGAACUUUAGCUGAAAAACCACUAGAUUCCUUAUUUACAUUAUUGGAAAAAGGUUGGUGUUACCCAUCUUCCUGGUUGAUAGUCAGAGACAGUAACCUGCAGAAGUUAUUGGAAGUGGUGUACCCCAAAAGAAAUAAAAAAGGAAAACAGACCCACAUGUGCAAAAAGGUUUGUAGCAGCUCUUUUUGUGAUAGCAAAGAAUUGGAAAAUGUGUGGAUGCCCAUCAACUGGGGAAUGGCUGAAUACGUUAUAGUAUGUUAAAGUAAUGGAAUAUUAUUGUCAGGUUUCUUGAGGGCAGAAACUUUCAAUUUUGAAUCCUUGCUUAUCUUUACAUGGAAUUGUCUAGAGUAGAGGCAAUGAUUUCCUCUAUAUAUGAAAGCAAACCUGAGAACUCUAUCUCAUUAAAAUAUAGCAGAUGUGGAAAUAAUAAUAAUAAUUAAUAAUAAUAUAGCAUUCAUAUAGCUCUUUAAGGUUUGCAAAGUAGAUUGAGAGCUAAAAGAAGCAUAAAGGUCAUUUAGUUUAGUUGAACAAUCUGUUGUAUUUGAGAAAACUGUUCAUGACCCCAUUUGGGGUUUUCUUAGCAAAAAUAAGUGGCCAUUUCCUUCUUCAGCUCACUUUAUAGAUGAGGAAACAGGUCUACCGGAGUUAAGUGACUUAUCCAGAAUCAGUAAGUGUCUGUUUUGAACUCCAGUACUCCUGAGUUCUUAGGCCAGAGCUGUGUCUGCUGUUUCACCUAGCUAUCUUAUUAAGCAAAAGUACUGAUCUGCAAUUGGUCAAUCAGUCAACAAACAUUUAUUAUCAAUAAAUGAUAAUAGGUAGCAUGUAUGUAGAGCUUUAAAGUUUUGGGAAGGGAAAUAUAUUUGGUAUAAUUUCAUUUGUAUAAUGGUUAUUGUAUCUUCAAUCCAACCUAAUGAAUAGUAAAGUACUUAUGAAUGAGGCACAGUACUAAGCCCUGGAGAUACAAUUAUACAAAAUGAAAGAUCCUACUGUCAAGGAGUUUACAAUCUAAUGAGAAGCUAACACAGAGUAAAAAAAAAAGAGGAAAGAAGGGAGGAUAUUAGGAAGAAGGGACACCACGGGGACACCACGGGACAUCCUUCAUGGAGGCAUCUUAUUCUUUGGAGUUGAAACCAGUCAGAAUAACAAAUUCAGUGUAGUAUAAUUUCUGCCUCUAUAAAGGAAGACAUUAUCUUCUCACUGGGUAGGAAAAAAUGGGAGAGGAAGGAAGGGAAAGAAUUUGGAACUGAAGCUAGGUGCCUAGUAAAGGGUGAAGUUCCUCACCAGAAAUUCCCUACACUUAUAACCUUGAACAGGUCUGAUUAAAAAAAAAUGUUGCAGAUAGUAUACUAGACACUGGAGAGUACAAAUGUUUAAGCAAAGUAACCUCUGCCCUCAAGGAGCUUACAUUCUAAUAGGAAGCUCUAACACAUAAAGAAGAGCAGAGACCUGGAAAGAGUCUGGAUCUCCAAGGAGUUAGAGCACUUGGUCAAACCAUUUGUACUUGAAAUGGUGAUAUUAAUCUGAUAGUUUCUAGUAUUAAGUUUGAAUAGUUGAAUAGUGAAUAGCCAAAAGAGGAAAGUUGUAGAAAUUACAGAAGAGCAGGAGAUAUCUGAUAGAUUAGUCAAGUCCUUGGGUGAGAAGAUCUGGAGGCCAUAAAGGCUAGAGAAACAGAAUUAAGAAUUCAGAUGGGAGGGGGCCUACUGCUCCAAAAAUCAGUUAUACUCAUUUCAUCACUGUUUCUUCUCAAUCACUCCAACUGUUGUCAGGGGAGUAGAAGGGGAAGCAGAGGACAUAAAAGCUAUAUCAAACAGCAACGUUCAAUGGCAAUGUGGAAAAUGGCCAGAUGUUUUAUAGGGGCAGGUGUGUCUCAUUUCCCUUAUCUAAUGGCAAAGGCAAGGAGGUUAACCAAGAGGUUAAGGCAAUCUUAAUACAGUUAUAAUAUAGGGCAGGAAGCAAAUAUAACAAGCAGGAUAAAUCCUCUUCAUUCAAGCCUACACUAUUAAAAGAUUUCUUGGGGUAUUUUUUUCUCAUGAGUUGAAGAAACCAAGGUAUAAAACUGGAAAAUAUUUUUAUAAAAGACAAUUAUUCUGUUUCUAACAUUUUUACAUUGCUCUAUGAUUGAAGAAAUGGAAUUUAAAAAAAAAAGGCUUCUGAUUUAACACAUACAUUGCUUCCUGGAGGAGGACACCAUCUCACUGCCAAUCUGGGACUUCAGCUUGUUCAGCAAGCAGCAUCUUUCACAGAGAAACUUCUUACCAGUCCUCUACUUAGGAGUCACUUGUCUCAUUUGCUCAAAGCUGCUGGAGAUUCCCAGAUAUAAUUUGUUGAUCCCAGUUACCCUCAAUUUUGUUGUAAUAUUAAGGAAUGUUUAGGGUAAAGGUAGACAUUUCCUAUUGAGUGGAUGUCCAUCAACUGAAUAAAUUGUGCUAUGUGAAUAUAAUGGAAUAUUAUUGUUCUAUAAAAAAUGAUAAGCAGGCUGAUUUCAUAAAAGCCUAGAAAGAAGUGAUAUGAGCAGAACCAAGAGAACAUUGUACUCAGUAACAAUAUGAUUAUGUGAUGAUCAAUUGUGAUGGAUGUGGCUCUUUUCAACAAUGAGGUGAUUCAAGACAGUUCCAACAGACUUGUGAUGGAAGUGCCAUCUACAUCAGAGAAUUAUGGACAUUGAAUACUUUCACUUUUGUUGUUGUUUGCUUGUUUUUUCUCGUGUUUUUUCCCCUUUUGAUCUUAUUUUUCUUGCCCAUCAUGGCAAUAUGGAAUAUGGACAUAUGUUUAAAAGAAUUGCACAUGUUUAACCUGUGUAGGAUUAUUUUUUGUCUUGAAGAAGAGGAAGGAAGGAGAAAAGAUUGGAACACAAGGUUUUACAAAGGUGAAUAUUGAAAACUAACUUUGAAUGUAUUUGUAAAGAUAAAAUACUACUUAAAAAAAGAAAAUAAGAGAUUUUCUUUAAUAUAAACUUACAUUACCUUGGUUCUCAGGUUAAAGGACUUUGGUUCAAAUCUCCCACUUAUUUUAAAAAGAGAAAGGAAGAUAUUUUUGUGUGCUCUCUGAGUCCAAACUUGGCCAGUAAAGUCAUCUUGACCAACCCCUUAAUUUUACAGAUGAAGCCUUGGAGAAGUGUUAAUUUUCCAUCGGUUGCUCCAAUGGGACUCCAUAAACAACACAACUACUGAUGAUAAAGUCAUCACCUGAAAUCUCAUCAGCAGGAAGGCUGAUCCAGUUUUAAUAUUCAAUACUUUCUCAGUACCCUCAGCUGCCUUUUCCUUCUAACUAAAGGGCUGGAGGAUAGAGCAAUAAAUUGCCAAAGCUUUCCCUAUUAUAGAGAACCCAAGAAUUUCCAGAUAACUUCAUUUUCCAUCAACAGUUCUGCUUGGUUUCCUUUCCAUAAAUCCCAUACUCCUAUACUACAGUAUCCUGUACCAAAAUACUUCUGCUGUUCUUCUGCUUUCUCCCUUUUGUGUAUUGUCUUUCCUAUUAAAUUGCAAACUUCUUAAGGGAAGGUAUCUGUUUUUUUUCUUUGUAUCCUUAGCCAGUGGCUAGCAUCUAGUAGAGAAUAUAUAUUGAUUGUCAAUUUUACUAUUAAAGCCUAAGGUUACACAGAUAGUGCAAAGAUUGCAUUUUUGUGUAAAGGAUUGUAUUAAUAUAGCAUUUAUUUUUGGAUUUUGAUAUUACUGUUUUUUUAUUUACUUUGAUGUUAUCAUUGUGUAUUCUGUUUGGUUGAUAUCAGUUAAUAGAAACUUCCCAAGGCAUUUCUUCUGCUACUGAAUUUUCAUUUCUUAAAGCACAUUAAAUAAAUAUACCCACAUUUAUUUAGUCAUUCCCUAAUCAAAGAACAGCUACUUUUGUUCUCAAUUAUUGGCUAUCAAAAAAAGUGUUGAUAUGAGUAUUUGGGACUAUAUAGGAUCUUUCUAGAAAGAAACUCUUUGACUUCAUAUGUCUAGGAGUAGGAACUGUAAGUCAAAGUGUAAGACAUUUUAGCCACUUUUUUGCACACUACUAAUUAAUUGCCCCUCCAACAUUAACUGUUCCCAAUUUUUUUUUAUCUUUACCAAUUUGUUGAGAGGUG
rnacentral:lncRNA from 1 species